rnacentral:sRNA from 1 species
UUCUUUAAGCGGCGGAGGCGUUUCAGGCACCUCCCCUGUUGAUGAACUCGACUCGCGAGUCACCCA